CUGUACUCGACUGUACUGAUUUUUACUCGACCAGUCUGAAUUCGUCUGAGAUUUACUUGAUAGUACUCGACUGUAGUCUGAACCAUACUUAACAGUCUGAAUGUGUACUUAACCAUUUUAUACGAGUCUGAACCGUACUCGACCUUGUCUGAACCGUACUCGACCUAGUCUGAACCAUACUCGACCUAGUCUGAACCAUACUCGACCAAGUCUUAACCAACCUAGACCUAUUCUUUGUAUCUAUCAACUGAAUUUUAUCAAUUUAGGAAUUCUUUUAAUAAAAAUGAAAUUUGAACAGCA
rnacentral:lncRNA from 1 species